AUAGAUCGUAACCGACUGGCAACCCUCUACAUCUCUCUCACUUUGUUCUCUCUCGCGGUGCCCUAUCUUUCUCCUGUCGCCCCCCUCUCUCUUUCUCUGAAGUCUGAAGACGAUGACCAUACCGAUGCCGAUGGCCUUAUAUCUCACUCACAAACAUUUGGUUUGGUUCAAUCCGUAUUCCACAUCAGAUCAUUCCGUUCGAUUCAAUCUCUUUGUUUCCAGUUGAAGCCCUAAUACCUCACUCUCACUCCCACUCACUCUCAUUCGGUUCAAUAUUUGUAUUCGACAUCAAAUCGAAUUGCUCCAGGUAUGCAGAAAUCCAAGAUAGGUCAUUGUUAUGACAGCUACGGUGAACAUCCCAAGAUUAUUUUGGAUCUCUGUAGACACUUUGCAAGUCCUCAUAUAGUGGUUAGAAGCACUGUGCAUCAUGCAUGUAUUGCCUAGAGGGAUGUUUGGCUUCUCAACUUUUGGAAUAGCAGUGGCACUUUUGGAAGACGUAAGAGAGAUCACAAGAAAUGGGGCCAAAUUUGUGGAUGGACAAGAGAGGGAGAUAAAAUGGUAGAAAAGUCGUCAUAAGCUGCUUUAAAUUCUGAUGGCACCAUUCCAGAGAAAAAAGAUGCAGUGAUAAUGCAUAACCAGCUCUAACAGAUGCUCGUGGGUUGUCAUGUGGCUUCAUGGUUGCAAGUUCUUCAAGUUGUCAUCUUUCAUCUUAUGAAGAGGUUGUUAUUUACCUUUCGGUGGAAGUCACAACAACUCGAACGGCCAACAUGGUUCUCUUUUCUUUAGUCAAUUGAAUAUUUAAGACAUUUGAAUUUUUGCUGUAUUUUCUUUGGUUAAUAGCAUGUGUUGUAAAUAUUUUAUCAUAAUGAACUAUAAAGAGAAUUCUUUUGGUACA